rnacentral:lncRNA from 1 species
UGUAAUGAAAUGUAUCUGCCUCAUGUGGUUCUGCUGAAGGAGAUUAACUCACCAUUCAGCUGGGACUAAUUACAAGCUGCAGCAGCUGGAGAGAGAAAGAUCAGGAGGCCAGAUGGCUUGGAGAAGUGUAGGGGAUUUUCUUUCAAUAACAGGUUUUGAAGGACUUCCCCAGUUAUCUGGGAAAAAAUAUCAUAGGAUGUCAUAAAGAAAAACUCCUUGGAAGAAAGAUCUUGUGAACAAGAUUUGUCUGAAUGGUUCUCAGAGAAUUCUUACCAGAAAAUGACUCUGUCAAGUUCCUGGUAAUCUGUUUUGUUGAACUAUGGAAUCCUUUUACCAAAAUGAAGAGAGAUGACAACUAGUCUUGUCCGGUAUUCUCCAAGCUCCCAGAAAGUACUAUCAGGAUUAUUCAGGUUCAAACCUGCAAGGUUUUCUUAGCACACCCAACUUCUGCGAAUUGCUGCUGACUCUGAAGAAAUGAUGAGCUUGUGCUUGGUUUUUCCUAUUGGAGAGAAUUCCACUCAGGUCAUUUUGGCUUCUCAGCUGCAUGAAGAUACUGCAGAAAUUUAUUUGGGAUUUUGCUGAAGCACUGAACACAGGAAAUAGACCCAUAUGAGUUUGUCAAUGCGAAACAGAGGUGGCAAACAUUUUAAGGAUCCACCACGCUGAAAG